GAUGAACGCUGGCGGCGUGCCUAAUACAUGCAAGUCGAACGGAAAGGUCUCUUCGGAGAUACUCGAGUGGCGGACGGCUGAGUAACGCGUAGGAACGUACCCCAAACUGAGGAAUAACCCCGAGAAAUCGUGGCUAAUACCGCAUGUGCUCUAAGGAGUAAAGCUUCGGCGGUUUGGGAACAGCCUGCGUAAGAUUAGCUAGUUGGUGAGGUAAUAGCUCACCAAGGCGACGAUCUUUAGCUGGUCUGGGAGGAUGAUCAGCCAGACUGGGACUGAGACACGGUCCAGACUCCUACGGGAGGCAGGAGUGGGGAAUAUUGCACAAUGGGCGCAAGCCUGAUGCAGCCAUGCCGCGUGUAUGAAGAAGGCCUUCGGGUUGUAAAGUACUUUCAGCGGGGAGGAAGGCGGUGCGGUUAAUAGCCGUACCGAUUGACGUUACCCGCAGAAGAAGCACCGGCUAACUCCGUGCCAGCAGCCGCUGUAA
rnacentral:rRNA from 1 species